AUGGCUCAAGCAAAGGUUGAGCUGGACCAGAUUGCCGCAUGGUUUAGUGAGGAGGGACUUGACCCAGGCUCCUCUAAGGAGGCUCAGCUGUGCGAGCUGUGGCGGGCCUUUCACUGUGUAAGAAGCCAUCUGAGCAGUGUGACAAGGGACCAGGACAGGCAGCGCUCACAACACUUAGCAGAGAUGGAUGAAGUGCGCAAGUCCUUGGAGCAGAUCAGCAUCUUUACAGAACAAAAAGAUGUUUUGGUUCAGGAGAUACAAGAUGAAAACGAUCAGCUGAAGGAUCGGCUGCGGCAGCUAAUAUCCCUUCAAGACACCCAGAUAAGCGAGGUGGCUAAAAUGCUGUACCAGCAGGGUCUCACUGAGUUGAUUCACAGCAGCCCCAGUGAGCAGGUGGCAUAUCUCUUGGUGGAGAGGGCCUCCCUACUCGAGACAAGUGAGGAUCGUGACAACCUGACAAAUGCUGGAAACACAAUCAGCCCAGCGCAAACAGAGACGCAACUGCCAAACAGCAACGCACAACAGAAGUGGGUGCCAAAUCAUGGCCAGAGUCCAUGGAGGAAACUCUUUGGUCUCCACAAAGCCACACAAAGCAAACACACUCCCAUUCCUAAUGAAGCCAGGCAUUUGACUAAUCAGUCAAAUGCCAGUGUGGAAAGGAAGUGCUCCCGUCUGGAGCGGGAUUUGGAGGAGGGCUCCCGUCGGCUGGCCAUGGCCCACAAUGAGAUACGACGUCUGACUGAUGAGUUAGAGUCUGCACAUUUGACCCAAAAAUCUUUUGAGUCUGAGCUGCAGGCAGCACAACAGGAAGAAGAAAAACUGAGGAAAUCUGGUAGACUCUCUGCAGCAGGAAGUGGAGCGGUUACAGUCAACCCUACAGGAGCAACGGCAGCAAGCCAAGCAGGUGUCACCACAGACGGUCAUGCUUGUUCAUCCCUCAUAGCAGUGCUUCUCAGUCUGUGGGCCUGUGCCUAUCUCUGGGCUGUGGAGUUUCAGGUAGCAGAGGUGGCACACAGCAACACAACCUGCAAAGAUUUGAAAGAGAAACUGGCUGCUCACACAAGGUGCCCUUUAGAUACAGAGCAAACUAUAUUGUCUCUAAAGAAGGAUGUGGAGCGUUUAGAGUUUGCCCUACAAGAACAGCAGCUCCAGGCCAUGCAGGUUCAGGCUCAGAAAGCCAAUGAACAGGCUAAAGAGUGUCCUGAUUAUCAAGAAUCAGCCAAGACUCUACUGAUGACCCAAGAUGAGUGUGAGACACUUAAAAAAGAGAUCUGUGAGACCCUUACAUGCCUUGAUAAAGAGCGGAGUAAAUACCAUGAGCUGAAGGAAAAACAUAAAACCAAGCUGUGUUGGGCCAAACAAAAGCUUGAUGAUGAAACCACAUGGCGUGAUGAAAAGAUAAAAAGUCUAGAGCGAGAACUGUCCCUGUGUUCCCAUUCAUUAGCAAAGGAAAAAGAACUUGUCCAAAGUAUAACAGCAGAAAAUGAGAAACUACUUGUUGAGAGGACAAGGCUGUUAAAGCUGUUGAACGAAGAAGAGCACAACAAGAAAGACAGCAAUCUAUCCAUUGCUUUGUCCAAAUGCAGGGUAGAUUUUCUAGAGAUGGAGAACAAGAAACUGGGAAACAAAAUUGUUCACAUGUCCAAUCAGCUGGCUGUCAUGGAACGAACUCUACAGAGUGUGCAACCACUUCACUUGGCUGAGGAGCCGCAGAAGAUUUGUGAUCCUCAGUGGAAUUUUACAUCUCUCCCUGUGGAAGCUCCCACUGUUGUGAUGCCAAAGCCUUUUGAACUUCCGACCUUACUGGAUGAUACGCAGAGCAGUCACAGCAAGCAGACUGCGAUUCCAUCCCCGCACUCUCUGAUCUCUGCUGCCCUGUCUCGUUCAGCAGAGAUGGGCUACCUGAACCUGGCAUCCACUCAGAAACGCUCAGACCAACGGGCUUCCCUGGCUGUUCUCAGCAGCUCAGAACAUUUGUGCUCCUGAAAAUCUUUACUUACAACAUGAAUGUACUGUAUAGAGACUGUUAUUUUUUUGAGAGAAUUAAAUUAAUAAAUAACAGAAGAAUUUCCUUUCACUCUGCAAAGUUCAUUUUCAGUUGAAUGUUUUUAUUUACUGUCAGCAAACAAAAUCAACCCUGG
ensembl:lncRNA